GGGAAAAUACCAAGUUGUGGAUGAAAUGGUAAAAGUAGCCAUUUUCGCAUACGAGGUAAGUUCAUAUGUAAAUGUUGGUAACAUAGUUAUUAUUUUAAAUAUUUUAAUGUUAUUUAAAUGGUAUGAUAAUUAUUAUGAAAUAUUAUACUGUGAUAAUUGUUUGUUAAUAUGUCAAAUUAUGUGAUAUACUUGGAAAAUGUGAAAUACUACCGAGUAUCGGUAAUGGCAUUCCGUAGAAGAUGGUUGAGACACAUGAUUGGGAAAAAGGUCUCAUUGAACCUUAGGAAUGGAUAAGGAUACAAGUGACAUAUCACUAGGAUAUUUGGGCAUCCGAACUCAUUGAGUUGAGUCCGAGUUCACUUAUGGAUGCAAAUGUCCGAACUCGUUGAGUUGAGUCCGAGUUCGUGAGAUGUAACUAGGCAUCCGAACUCGUUGAGUUGAGUAUGAGUUCACUCAUGGAUGCGAAUGCCCGAGCUCGUUGAGUUGAGUCCGAGUUCGCUUAUGGGCGGGUUACAUAGUAGCUUGGCUACAUAUGUGGCACUUAUGUGCAAACUUUCCAUGUAUCCGAAUUAUAUUCCGAUGUGUUCAACGGGUAAAAUUCUACUCAAAUGGAGGAAUACUCGGGAUGAAAGGGACGUAUUGGUAAGUGUUAUGAAAUGAAUACUUUGAACAGGUAUGUACUUAACCCUCGGGUUGAAAACUCGAUAUAACAACAAUAUGGUAAGAUGAUAAAUGAAAAUGUGAUAUGAAUGUCUCGGUGAUGAUUAUGCAAAUGAUGUUUUAUGUUUGCGUAUAUAGUUGUGUUACUUGCUAUUUGCAUGUGAGCUUACUAAGAAUUUAUGCUUACUCCCUCCUUUUCAUUCCUUGUAGUGUUGACAAGCCAGCUCGGAAAUCGGGAACGGUCGGAGGCACACUCACACUAUCUGUAUACCAUCUUGGCAUAAUGGCUUGUAUAUUUUGAGUAUGGCAUGUAUAGCAUUAUAAUCAUUUUGUAUAUAUGGUCUUAUGAUAUGGUUAUUGAGUGGUAUGGAAAU
rnacentral:lncRNA from 1 species